CACCCAUUUGAAAUCCCACUGUAUUAAAUUCUAUAAUUUAAUACAAAUUUAAUAAAGUACAAAUUUAUCUUUGUACUACUCAAUAUACUUAGACCCCCUAUUGCCAGAUUUGUCUGCUUUAAGUAUUAUCUUUUGACCCCCAGGUACUGAGGAUAAGAAAAUCAACAUAGUUACAUUACCUCCCACUUUCUUUUUUUCUUCCUCUCCCAAUUUUUGCUUAUUAUAUCAUUUCUACUCCAUCUGGGUUUAUCACCAUUAAAUUUGUUCUGUAACAAUAAUCACUACAUUUGUUUUGGUCUCCGUCAUAAAUUUACAUAAAUUUGACACUAAUUGCUAGACUUUUGCUAUAGUUUAUUUCUUCCCCGUGUUUCUGUCACUUUUGCCUUCAUCUCUGUGAUUGUGAAAUUUCUUCAACAUUUUCCCUGAGGCCCGACAGCUCAUAUUUCAGCUUAUUGUUGUCUUGCCUUUGCUGUCUUGAGCUCUUGCUUAAUUGCUUCAUUAAAACUUUCUAAUUUGAGGUGAAAUAUUUGAUGACAAUUUUCACCUGCUUUUUUCAGACGAGUCUUCUUUAUUUGCCAUGCAUUUUUCAGGUCCCUUUUCUCCUUUUUUCCCCCUGCAUUACUUCUGUUUACCUUUUGUUCCAGUUCCAUUUUGAUUCCCUAUCUUUGAUGGAUUUCAAGUUGUAUUGAAUCAGUUAUUUGCAAAAGGUUCAUCUAGGACAAGGGCCAGGACUGUCUUUGCUAAUACCAAUACCUUUUUUAUGGACCAAGUCAUUUAGAGAGAGGUAGCUGUGCGGCUAUUAAAAGUGCAGUCUCGCUGUGGCUGUGGCAUAGGCCGGUGGCUACAGCUCCUAUUAGACCCCUAGCUUGGGAACCUCCAUAUGCCGUGGGUGUGGCCCUAAAAAUACAAAAGACAAAAAUAAUAAUAAUUUUAAAAAGUGUAGUCUCUCUCCUCUCUCCUGAUACUGGGGCCAGACUCAUCUUCCAUGCUCCUUAGGAACAGAUUACUUCCUGCAAAUAUUACCUGUCUCUUUCACUCCUUAUUUGGCCCAAUUUCCCUAUGCUUCUUGUCAUGGAUCUUCUGCUCCAUGAUAGCUCCAGCUGUCAAUUUGUGCAUGCUUGUUACCUUUAAGAAAUGUACAAUUUUUUUGAGUGUAGGUCUCAUGUCAAGUGUUCUUACCUAAAAGAAAGGAAGGAAGGAAGGAAGGAAGGAAGGAAGGAAGGAAGGAAGGAAGGAAGGACUGUCAAGCAUAAAAUUAAUUUACAAUUCAUGGAGAUAUUCUCUGUGAAGGAGUUAGAGCCCAGCAUACUGUCAGGCAUUGUUUGGAUAGAACCUCUAGUCAGGCACAGAAAGGCAAAUAACUCCAUGUUCUCUGCCAGCCUUCCUGAGCUUUCUUACUACACGACACAGGGAGCAAAGUUGCACACAACACAAUUUCUUCAUGUCCUGGCAACUGAGCUUGUGCUAAUUAAGAGAAAAUUGGAUGACACAAAAGAUGCUUAAAUCACAUCCCAUUGCACCUUUAGUUGAAGUGGCUUCUCAUGAUUAAUUUUCUUAGCAUUCAUCACACUCCAUUGUAUUCUGCCUGUACUUCCCACUAGAUGAUAAGUUCUAUGAACACAAGAAUGGUGCCUGUUUUGUUUACUAUUGAAUCUCCAUUUGCCUUGCACAUAAUUAGUGCUCAGCAUCUAGUCAGUGUGAUUGUCUAACAUUCAAGCUGAAAUUUUGGCUCUGGACUGGAGUUUGUGCUUAUCUAUAUAUUUUUGAGAAAUAUCUUCAAUAAAUGUGCAUUAUAUUUGCAAAGAGAAAUUUGAUUUAAAAAUGUGUUAAACAAUAUUUACAAUAUGAUUAUAAUUAAUUUUAAAGAUGCAGAUGCACGAAAAAGACAUGACUGUUACAUACUUUGUAUCCUGAAGUCCUGUUCUCAAGUCUCUUCUCUUUCCUGGAAUCUCAUCCGUUGCCAUGGCUUUGGUUAUCACCUAUAUGUUAAUGACUCACAAGUCCAUAUAUCCUGAGUUCAAGAUUAAUUUAUUUGAUGCCUACAGGUUGCAUAUUCCACAGAUAUUUCAUAUUCGAUAUAUUUCAAAUUGGAGUCAUCAUUCUCCAGUCCCACACCAAAACUAUUUGCUUUCCUGUCUUCCUUGGCUUGGUGAACACAACCACCAUCCACCCAGUUGCACCUGCCAGAAGCCUAGUUAUUACUGGUUCCUUCCUUCUCCCUCAUCCCAUAUUGCUACCCUAUCUCAAAAUUCCAUUGAUUCCACUUCUUUAAUAUUCUUAUAAAUGUUAAUAUUUAUCAGUACAAUGCAUACACACAAUAUCAAAGCAAUUAGGACAGCGUUUAUGAUGAAAACAAGUAAUUUCCCCUCCUGUUCUUCCAUAGACUCAUCAUCAAGCUCUAGAGUCCAGACCAACUUUUUUGAUUUUAGCUUCUGAUAAAGCAGUUCUCAACCAGGAGUGAUUCUGCUUCCAGGGUACACUCGUCAGUGUCUGGAGACAUUUAUGGUUUUGACAACUGAAGACAAGGGCACUACUGGCACCUAAUGGGUAGAGGCCAGGGAUCCUCCAGUGCACUGGGAAAUCCUCAGCCCAACAUGUCAAUAGUGCCAAGACUGAGAACUGUUCUUACGGUUACCUUCAAAAUGCCAAAAAUAUAUUUGUAUCCCUAAUGACCUUCCGAUAUGAAAACAGGAUAUUUUAGUUCAUUUAUCUUUCAACCCCUCCUCCUCUUCUCUUAUUCCAGAUGUUUGUACUGUUAUUAUUAUUUUAGCUUAAUUAUACAGUUAACAAUUAUUUAUUGAACACCAUUGUGUG
rnacentral:lncRNA from 1 species